UGGAACACAGCCCCUCUCCUUCGUCG
rnacentral:piRNA from 1 species